rnacentral:rRNA from 1 species
UGGGGAAUAUUGCACAAUGGACGGAAGUUUGAUGCAGCGACGCCGCGUGGAGGGUGUAGGCCUUCGGGUUGUGAACUCCUUUUUCUCGCGAAAAAGGCACAGUUUUGGCUGUGUUGAUGGUAGUGGGGGAAGAAGCGCCGGCUAACUACGUGCCAGCAGCCGCGGUAAUACGUAGGGCGCGAGCGUUGUCCGGAUUUAUUGGGCGUAAAGGGCUCGUAGGCGGUUUGUCGCGUCUGCUGUGAAAGACCGGGGCUUAACUCCGGGGUUGCAGUGGGUACGGGCAGGCUAGAGUGCGGUAGGGGUAGCUGGAAUUCCUGGUGUAGCGGUGGAAUGCGCAGAUAUCAGGAGGAACACCGAUGGCGAAGGCAGGUUACUGGGCCGUUACUGACGCUGAGGAGCGAAAGCAUGGGGAGCGAACAGG